rnacentral:rRNA from 1 species
GACGAACGCUGGCGGCGUGCCUACUACAUGAAAGUAGGACGCAGUUGCUAACUGGUGAGUAACGCGUCGGUAACUGCCUAUUAGAGGGGGAUAACUAUUGGAAACGAUAGCUCAUACCGCAUACUAGUAGAUUGACCUGCUUUGUAUUAGCUAGUAGGUAGGGUAAUGGCCUACCUAGGCGACGAUACAUAGCCGACCGGAGAGGGGGAUCGGCCAGACUGGGACGGAGACACGGCCCAGACGCCUACAGGAGGCAGCAGAAGGGAAUCUGGGGCAAGGGGGGGAACCCUGACCGAGCAACGCCGAGUGAGUGAAGAAGGUUUUCGGAUCGUAAAGCUCUGUUGUUAAGGAAGCGGUACUUAACCAGAAAGGGACGGCUAACUACGUGCCAGCAGCCGCGGUAAUAC